ACCGCUUGAAACUCAAAGGACUUGGCGGUGCUUCACACCCCCCUAGAGGAGCCUGUCCCAUAAUCGAUAAACCCCGAUCCACCCCACCCUCUCUUGCUCAGCCUAUAUACCGCCAUCUUCAGCGAACCCUGAUAAAGGUUAACAAAGUGAGCACAAAUGCCCCCUUUCGCAAAAACGUUAGGUCAAGGUGUAGCCUAUGAGAUGGAAA
rnacentral:rRNA from 1 species